rnacentral:lncRNA from 1 species
GGGACUAAAUAUAUAACACAAACUUAGCUAGAGUCCAAAGUUGGAGUAGAAGUUGUUGAAACAGUUCCCUUCAUGUAAUUGUUAUAAACAAAGUUCACAAGCUAUUCAUUACCCACUUUGGGCAGGGUGUAUCAGCCAUUUUAAAUCUGCCCUCAAAAGCACAGAACAGAUCAGAUGGCACCUUGCUUAUAGAGGAGAGGGUCUACGAGAACCAAAUUCCAGCUUCAGCGUAUGACCUUGGGUACAGCUACAAGAUGGAGGAAGCUAUUUGACCUGCAUCAGACUUUAUGUGAACACAAGCAGCACUAGUAAAUGCUGUCUUCAAGAUAGGAGUCUGGAGUUAACUCUACUCGUGGCAAAAUCACCACCUGUGCUUCAACUGGCCAUGGCACCAAAUUGACAAUGAGCCCAAUCUCCCUGUAGUUACGCGGAGUGACCAGGUGAACAUGAUGAUUUUUUUGUGCCUUGGGGGUCCUCAGCUGCUGGAACAGG